rnacentral:rRNA from 1 species
CCUACGGGUGGCAGCAGUGGGGAAUAUUGGACAAUGGGCGAAAGCCUGAUCCAGCAAUGCCGCGUGUGUGAAGAAGGCCUUCGGGUUGUAAAGCACUUUCAGUGGGGACGAAAGCCUUGGGGCUAAUACCCUCGAGGAAGGACAUCACCCACAGAAGAAGCACCGGCUAACUCCGUGCCAGCAGCCGCGGUAAUACGGAGGGUGCGAGCGUUAAUCGGAAUUACUGGGCGUAAAGCGCGCGUAGGCGGUCUGAUAAGCCGGUUGUGAAAGCCCCGGGCUCAACCUGGGAACGGCAUCCGGAACUGUCAGGCUAGAGUGCAGGAGAGGAAGGUAGAAUUCCCGGUGUAGCGGUGAAAUGCGUAGAGAUCGGGAGGAAUACCAGUGGCGAAGGCGGCCUGCUGGACUGACACUGACGCUGAGGUGCGAAAGCGUGGGUAGCAAACAGGAUUAGAUACCCCGGUAGUC